GAAUAGUAGCACAUUAUACUUAUUUCAUUGAAAAUAUCAUUCAUGUUUAUCAAUACAUCCAUAUCAAUGAGAAGAUUCAUACCAGAACAUAAGUACAAAGAAUGUACAAUUAUCAUAUAUCAAUAAACUAAUCAAACACACAAAGUGUUAACUCCUCAUACCUUGUCUGAAAUCCUCGCGGCAACUCUCUAUUCAAACUUUUGCAUCUUUCUCUCUCCAACUCUCGUUUUCAC
rnacentral:lncRNA from 1 species